rnacentral:rRNA from 1 species
GUUGAACGCUGGCGGCAUGCUUUACACAUGCAAGUCGAGCGGCAGCGCGGGGGCAACCCUGGCGGCGAGCAGCGGACGGGUGAGUAGAGCAUCGGAACGUAUCCCGUAGUGGGGGACAACCCAGCGAAAGCUGGGCUAAUACCGCAUAUGCUCUACGGAGGAAAGUGGGGGACUCGCAAGGGCCUCACGCUAUGGGAGCGGCCGAUGUCCGAUUAGCUAGUUGGUGGGGUAAUGGCUCACCAAGGCGACGAUCGGUAGCUGGUCUGAGAGGAUGAUCAGCCACACGUGGACUGAGACACGGCCCAGACUCCUACGGGAGGCAGCAGUGGGGAAUUUUGGACAAUGGGGGCAACCCUGAUCCAGCCAUGCCGCGUGCGGGAAGAAGGCCUUCGGGUUGUAAACCGCUUUUGUCUGGGAAGAAAAGGCGUCCACUAAUACUGGGCGUUCUUGACGGUACUGGAAGAAUAAGCACCGGCUAACUACGUGCCAGCAGCCGCGGUAAUAC